CAGUCGCCGCGGGAAUACGGAGGGUGCAAGCGUUAAUCGGAAUUACUGGGCGUAAAGGGUGCGUAGGUGGUUUUUUAAGUCCGUUGUGAAAUCCCUGGGCUCAACCUGGGAAUGGCAGUGGAUACUGGAAAGCUAGAGUGCGGUAGAGGGUAGUGGAAUUCCCGGUGUAGCAGUGAAAUGCGUAGAGAUCGGGAGGAACACCAGUGGCGAAGGCGGCUCACUGGCCCAUAACUGACGCUGAGGCACGAAAGCGUGGGGAGCAAACAGGAUUAGAUACCCCUGUAGUCCCUGUCUCUUAUAC
rnacentral:rRNA from 1 species